rnacentral:rRNA from 1 species
GACAGAGGGUGCAAACGUUGUUCGGAAUUACUGGGCGUAAAGCGCGUGUAGGCGGUUUGAUAAGUCGGAUGUGAAAGCCCUGGGCUCAACCCAGGAAGUGCACUCGAUACUGUCAAGCUAGAGUAUCGGAGAGGUUGGUGGAAUUCUCGGUGUAGAGGUGAAAUUCGUAGAUAUCGAGAGGAACACCGGUGGCGAAGGCGGCCAACUGGACGAAUACUGACGCUGAGACUCGAAAGCGUGGGGAGCAAACAGG